rnacentral:lncRNA from 1 species
CUUUUUGCCUUUUCUAGAGCCACUCCUGCAGCAUAUGGAGGUUCCCAGGCUAGGGGUCGAAUCAGAGCUGUAGCCGCCGGCCGACACCACAGCCACAGCAACACCAGAUCCGAGCCAUGUCUGCAACCUACACCACGGCUCACGGCAACGCCGGAUCCUUAACCCACUGAGCAAGACCAGGGAUAGAACCUCAUGUUUCCUAGUCGGAUUUGUUAACCACUGAGCUGCAAUGGGAACUCCUCUAAAUCCCAAAUCUUAAAUCCUCUUAGUGGCAGGGGGUCCCAAGCUUGGCAGUCUGGUUUAGGAGCCUGCACUCUUAACUGCUAAGAUAUACUACCUGAAAAAAUGAAUAAUUAAGCAUUAGUCUCUGAAUUUUGUGUGCUCCUGUCAUUGGCUGAGAGUAAGGUACCCCAGCUGUCAACUGUACCUAUACUUACUCUGCCAGCAACAUGGGCUUCCCCAGCUACUUAACAAAGCCGUCCUGCUUUCUCUGACUUUCUGAAUGGCAUGGCAUUCAGCCUGAAACAGAUUUCCCACUGGCACAGACAAGACAAAAACACGAACAUUUGGAUAAUAUUUUAAAACUUAUAAAUAGAAAUAUUUUAAUUUGAUCCUCACAGCAAAUAUGUGAAAUAUUAUAAGCAACCCUUUUCAAAAAGGAGAAAUCUAACACAUACAGCUGAUGAGCUAGGGAGUGCAGACUCUGACCCCAGUCGGGGUCAGCCCAAGGUCCGGUGGUUUGGCCCAAGCUCCAAAGCUUUUCUCCGUCACACUAUGCUGCUUCACCACACAUGCUUGUCUAUACCACCCCAACCUCUAGAAUCCCCUCUAGUCUAUUGGAAAUGGGAUACUGACUCUGUACCACUGAUCUUAGAUUAGAAAGGAGCUGAGUACGAUGCAGCUAUGCUUAGGUCUUCAGAGGCUCCAAGGUAAAAUUGGUGAAAGAUGUGUAUCUGGGCCUAUUUAUUCAAAGGACAAAUUUGAUGACUGUAUACAAUGUGUUAAGCCUGUGUUGUCCAGUGCAGGAGCCACUGGCCACAUGUGGUUUUUGAGCAGUUGAUUUAGUAGUUGACUAGUGUCACUAGGGAACUGAGUUUUUACUAUUACUUCAUUUUUGUUAAUUUAUAUUUAAAAUUAAAGAUGGAAACAAUGUAAAAUACAUUUCUAUUAAUAGAGUUUUAUUGUUUUGGUAGCAGUAUCUUUCACUUUAGGUUUCCCACUGCACAUGUAUAGUAAUGCCCUUAUGUGGAUGCCUUGUUUCUACUAAUACACAUAAACACAUCACUGAUCUAGCAGGAGCUGAUGGCUUGAAUAAUUUUCUUCUCUACAUGCAACAUUGUAGUAUGUUUCUUGGAAUGCUUUAUUCCGACAGCUCCAAUUGCAGGGAUAACUAUGUAAACUGUAAUUUAUAAUUGAACUGAAACACGUGCUAAUAUUUUAAUUAUACUACAAUUAAAUUAUUCUUUAGCAUAAAAAUAAGCAUGGACAAGAUUCUAAAAUUUAAAACAAAAGCAGACUACUGAUGCAGAAUUGAGUGGAGAUAGAAAAGCCAAUACUAUGAUCAGAAUAGAAAAGAAAAUAAGACACUGGAAGAAAAAUACUGUAAAUUUUACAGAGAAUGGCGAUUGCAAUUUGCCACAGCAGAAAAAAACAAAGAUGAUUUCUGUUUUGUUUUAAAAAAAAAGAUAAUAGACAAACAUUAGAGAUAUUUAUAGCAAAUACGGUAAAUUAGAUAAGUUCCUUCUCAGCAGUCAAAAAAUAAUUGACUAAACUAGUCACCUGAUAUCAGAAUUAAAUAUCAAUCCAUAAAAAUUUUAAAGAUUUUUAACAGACUCUGAGCUUCUAAUUUUGGCUAGCUAUGAAAUGACUUAGAUUCUUAUAUAUGCAUACACAAAACUAUUUUUGACAGAUAAUAGAAUGAAUUAUUAUUCCAAUUCCGAAAAAAAUUUUUGGCUGUGCCCAUAGCACGCAAAACUUCCCAGGCCAGGGCUUGAACCUGCAACACAGCAGCAACUGGAGACACAGCAGUGACAACACUGGAUCCUCAAACUGCUAGGUUACUGAGAAACUUUUUUUUUUUACUUAUGAAAAUUAUAAGGAAAAUACUAAAAGCGACAUUAUAUAAAAAGUGGAAGAUCUUUAAUUAAGUUAGCAAACUAUUGUCCAUGGGCUAUAGAGCUCUAACAACAUCAAAGAUCGAUUAUUACAAAUUUGAAGGAUUUUUUUCAGCUUUUAAUGAACUGGGAAAUCUAAGAGACCCUGCUCAAUUAAUACGUGCGCACAUGUCAUUUCAAAUUUAUAAUAAAUUUUGUCAACCUGUGGCCUAAAGUAUGGAACUUGUGGCCCAGAUAGUUUAUCAUCUUUUGUACAUAUCAAAGAAGAAUUUUACUUAGCUGUAGGAAGGAAGAAAUGUUUCAGUCACAACACACGAUGCUUUAGCUAUGCCAGAUUUUUUUUUUUUUAAUCCUGAUUUUUUUGGAAGUUUUAAACAACGGACUGAUAGUCUAUUGUUUCAUUUCAUUGUAUGAUAUAUAUUGAAAACAUCUGGACUAAGUUUCUGAAGCAGUCUUUAUGAAAAGUGUCAUGUUUGCAGUUGUUAGAAGUCUUUAGUACAUAUAUGUAAAUGUUAUGAAUCACUGUCAGUUUACAAAUCUGUUGAAAAACACCAAAGACAAUGAGGUCAAUGAUCUUGUGGGGUUUUUGUCCAGUUGAGUCAUGUUGUAAAAAUUUACAGUAAACUCCAAAAUUUUCUUGAAACAAAAUUCAGUAAGUCAAAGACAAAGCACGUCAGUGUGAUUAACCCUUCCUAGCCAAUAUCACACUACAUAUGAAUGAGCCAAACUUGAAGUUUCAUGGAAAGGAAAAGCUUUGUGACCCAGGUUUAUUGGUAUGAGAAUUUGCUAAGAUAAAAAUUCCAUUGCACGCACAUACCAAAUAAAUAAAUAAAUAUUCCAUUACACAUAUCAAUAAUAAUUAUUUUACACAUUUUUCUAAUGGAAAUACAUACGCCACAGUUAGUAACUAAAAUUGAAUGAAUUAUGUACUUUGGCUGCAAAAAUGACAAGAACAAUUUGAAGGACUAUUUUUGGAGUAAACUUAGAACUGCUUUUCAAUUUAUACAAUAUCCUUUUGCACCCAGGGUUAAUACUGUGUUUACACAAGAGUUAAUGAAUCUAUUAUGGACAGUCGUAGUUUUGAAAUGGAUAUGCAAGUUAGCUUCAAAGCUUAAUUAAUUGCUCUAAAAAUGAUGGGCCAGUUUUGUCCAUGUGAGUUUAAAUAUUAAAGUAAAAUAAUAUUUUUGGUAUUUAAUUCCAUUUUUAGAAAACUUUUAAGUAAGCUUGGAACAGUGCAAUAUAUGACUAUAUUUUUUUGAGAAGAAAUUUUAUGAACUCUAAAUGUGGAUCCAGUGUUUCUGAUGAAACUUUGGUUUCUGAGUUGAGAUGUACUGGAAGUGUAAAAUACCUAUCAAGUUUUGAAAACCUGAUGUGAUAAAAAGAAUGUAAAUGAUAUCAUUGGUUAUUUUCCACACCAAUUAAGUAGUAAUGUUUGGAUGUACUGGGUUAAGUAAAACAUUAUGAAAAUGAAUUUCCUUUGUUUCUUUUUAUUUUUUAAAGUGGCUACUAAAAAUUUUUAAAUUAUAUGUGUCUUUCAUUAUAUUUCUAUUGGACAAUACUAACCCUUUGAGUUGGUCAAAGAGGAUAGAGAGGUGAAUAAGACCUUUCUAUCAAGAAGAAAGCUAAGCACAGACAUCCUAUUGUAAAAUCAUGUGGAAGUUAAAUGACAGACUCCAAAAGACGUGGAAGAAGUCUCAAUGAGAGUGCCUAACUCAGAUUGGGGAAAACAUGGAAGACUUCUUGGAGGAAGUGAUAGCAGGAUACGGCCUUAAAAGAGGAGUAAGUAAUAAUAAAUAAGAAAAAAUAAAAAUGGCUUUCCAAUGGAGUAGUUAUUAUCCGCAAAGACCUAAAGAGGUAAAAUUGUAUACUCAUGUAGGGUAUAAAAGUGGAUCUGGUUUACUAGGUUGUAAAUGUGAGAGUGUGGCCAGAGACUAGGGUGGAGAGGUAGCUGGAUCCUGAUAGGCCUUGUAGACCAUGCUAGCCUUGGGACUAAUUCUGGAGGUGAUGGCUCAUGGGUUAAGUUGGAUACUCAGGCAGUAAACUCUGUAAACUCUAAUUCCAGGAAGUUUUUCUUUCCUAAUCUGUUUCACUGGGGAAGUGGGAGCACUGAUCAUUUUCACUGAUUGGAUGAACAAGAAUGGUACCAUUCUUGUGAGAUGAAAUUUUAUAUUGUAUGGCAGCUGGUUUCAUGUCAUUGGAUUCAGGUCUUCUCCAUUCAUAUGUCAAACACAGCUGAUUGAUUUCAGAGCCUGAAGUCUUAAAUUUCCGCAAUUAUUUAUUCCACUGAUUGCUGUCUGUUAUAUAUUUGUUUGUGAUUUAUAUUGACCCACUGGAGUAUAAAUUUCACAAAGCAGUGUCUCUGCUGUGUUCACCACUGUAUCCCUAGCACCUAUGAUAGAGCCUCACAGAUAGUACGUGCUCAGUAAAUGUUUUUGAAUAAGUAACACAUUAGAUAAGAUGGUAACACCUACUGGUAACAUGUAGUAGCCCUACUGCAGUCUGUAGAUACCUGGAUAAGACACUUAAAGAAGGCAAAUUCCAUCAACACAUUAUCUUUGAAUCAUGCUGACUUAACAGGUUAAAAAAAUGAAGGCAAGCGGAAAGCCAAGGGAGGAAAAAAAAUGCACAUCCAGAGAAAUAAGGGAGCCUAAUGUAGUGGAAGAAUGAGGACUUCACACUCAGACCAACACAGGUUUCAGUCCUCAACUCAGGUUUCUACUUGCUGUGUGACACUGUGUAAAGUAACUCACAUCUCUAAGCCUCAAUUUCUUCAACCUUAAAAAGGGGCAGUAAGAGUUCCCACCGUGGUAUAGUAGGUUAAGGAUCAGGGGUUGCCACAGCUGAUGUGUAGGUCACAGCUGUGACUGGGAUUCAAUCCCUGGCCUGGGAACCUCCACGAGUGUGGCUGAAAAAGAGGCAGGGGCGAGAGGGGGCAGAAAAACCAGCAGUGUUUUGACACUGGAAAUAACACAUUUAAAGUGUGUGUGCCAAAGGACAGCUAGUGUUAGCUUCUGUGUAAGACAAUGGAAAGUGAGGGGUUUGCUUGACUGUUUCCAACUUUUCCUCCUUCAUUCUGGUCUAGGAGGAGCCUUCCAAUCAUUCUCAUGCAUGUGGCUUUUCAGAGGAGGUAGUUUCUUUGCUCAGUGCACAAUUGGCCAUUUCCUGGCCUUGUAUGACAAGUGAAUAAGGCCAAGCAUGGAUUGCCCAGGCUGCUGAUACCAGAAACCUCUCUCAGGAUAUUUUCCAGGCACUAGGAAAUCAAUAUCCACUGUCAGGCAGCUUCAAAGCUGAUUACCUUGAAAUGAAUGGUCAUGCCUCCUCUUUAGGUCUCCAUUCUCCCCUUGUUCAAAGGAUUGGCUGCAAUACAUUAGGUCCCUAAUUAAGAAGGAUGAUGCUCAGCAAAUGACUCCUCUGAGCAGAAUACUAAGCCACUGGAAAAGUUUUGGGGCAGGUCUUCUGGUAUCCACACAGAGGGACCAUAUGUGAAUAGAGUCGAUGCUGCCUUAAUUGGUCAUGGUGUAGGGAUUAUAUUUCACCGCUCUGCUGGGAGUAAUAAAGUCUAACGUUCUAAUCAGUGUGGCAGCCAAGAAAUGGAAACUUAGAAUCUGAGCUGCUCUGCUAUUCAUCCAGAGCCGGUGAAAAGGAAAUGGAUACUGCCUCAGCUGUUUGAAAAUACAGACCCUUCACCUAAUAAUAAAAACACCCUCAGCAGGAUGAAACCAGACCCUACAUCUAAUAAUAAUAAUAUUUCUGGAGUGAAGCCAACCUCGACUCAAACCUUUUGUCAUUUACUAUCCGUUUAGCCUAAAGGAUUUUGUUUGGCCUUUCUCAUAUUUGGUUUCAACAUUUAUCAAAUGGGAUUAUGAAAAGUACGUUAAAUAAAUAAUUUCUCAUAACUGGCAAAGUUUCUGGCACAGAGAAAGCUUGCAAACAAUGUCUCUUUCUCUUUCCCUACUAUUCACAAUGUCUUUACAUUUUUCAGAAGUUACCAGCUUGAGGUUUGAAUGGACAUGAGGGUCUUUACUGAUAAGCAUGCCUAUGGUUUUGAGCAGAUUCCCUAAGGUUUUUAUUUUUCUUUUCUUUCUUUUUUUUUUAACCUCAAAACAAGGCUAUCACUUGUAAAAAUCCUGUAAAAAUCACUGGUCUUUAUCUUUCUUCUAGGGUCUGGUUCCUGCCUCUCU